AUUGAACGCUGGCGGCAUGCCUUACACAUGCAAGUCGAACGGUAACAGGUCUUCGGAUGCUGACGAGUGGCGAACGGGUGAGUAAUACAUCGGAACGUGCCCGAUCGUGGGGGAUAACGGAGCGAAAGCUUUGCUAAUACCGCAUACGAUCUACGGAUGAAAGCAGGGGGCCGCAAGGCCUUGCGCGGACGGAGCGGCCGAUGGCAGAUUAGGUAGUUGGUGGGAUAAAAGCUUACCAAGCCGACGAUCUGUAGCUGGUCUGAGAGGACGACCAGCCACACUGGGACUGAGACACGGCCCAGACUCCUACGGGAGGCAGCAGUGGGGAAUUUUGGACAAUGGGCGAAAGCCUGAUCCAGCCAUGCCGCGUGCAGGAUGAAGGCCUUCGGGUUGUAAACUGCUUUUGUACGGAACGAAAAGACUCUUUCUAAUAAAGAGGGUCCAUGACGGUACCGUAAGAAUAAGCACCGGCUAACUACGUG
rnacentral:rRNA from 1 species